rnacentral:rRNA from 1 species
GCAAGUCGAGCGAAUGGAUUAAGAGCUUGCUCUUAUGAAGUUAGCGGCGGACGGGUGAGUAACACGUGGGUAACCUGCCCAUAAGACUGGGAUAACUCCGGGAAACCGGGGCUAAUACCGGAUAACAUUUUGAACCGCAUGGUUCGAAAUUGAAAGGCGGCUUCGGCUGUCACUUAUGGAUGGACCCGCGUCGCAUUAGCUAGUUGGUGAGGUAACGGCUCACCAAGGCAACGAUGCGUAGCCGACCUGAGAGGGUGAUCGGCCACACUGGGACUGAGACACGGCCCAGACUCCUACGGGAGGCAGCAGUAGGGAAUCUUCCGCAAUGGACGAAAGUCUGACGGAGCAACGCCGCGUGAGUGAUGAAGGCUUUCGGGUCGUAAAACUCUGUUGUUAGGGAAGAACAAGUGCUAGUUGAAUAAGCUGGCACCUUGACGGUACCUAACCAGAAAGCCACGGCUAACUACGUGCCAGCAGCCGCGGUAAUACGUAGGUGGCAAGCGUUAUCCGGAAUUAUUGGGCGUAAAGCGCGCGCAGGUGGUUUCUUAAGUCUGAUGUGAAAGCCCACGGCUCAACCGUGGAGGGUCAUUGGAAACUGGGAGACUUGAGUGCAGAAGAGGAAAGUGGAAUUCCAUGUGUAGCGGUGAAAUGCGUAGAGAUAUGGAGGAACACCAGUGGCGAAGGCGACUUUCUGGUCUGUAACUGACACUGAGGCGCGA